rnacentral:rRNA from 1 species
AUACGUAGGGUGCGAGCGUUGUCCGGAAUUACUGGGCGUAAAGAGCUCGUAGGUGGUUUGUCGCGUCGUCUGUGAAAUUCCGGGGCUUAACUCCGGGCGUGCAGGCGAUACGGGCAUAACUUGAGUACUGUAGGGGAGACUGGAAUUCCUGGUGUAGCGGUGAAAUGCGCAGAUAUCAGGAGGAACACCGGUGGCGAAGGGGGGUCUCUGGGCAGUAACUGACGCUGAGGAGCGAAAGCAUGGGUAGCGAACAGGAUUAGAUACCCUGGGAUUCCAUGCCGUAAACGGUGGGCGCUAGGUGUAGGGGUCUUCCACGACUUCUGUGCCGUAGCUAACGCAUUAAGCGCCCCGCCUGGGGAGUACGGCCGCAAGGCUAAAACUCAAAUGAAUUGACGGGG